rnacentral:rRNA from 1 species
GACGAACGCUGGCGGCGUGCUUAACACAUGCAAGUCGAACGGAAAGGCCCUGCUUUUGUGGGGUGCUCGAGUGGCGAACGGGUGAGUAACACGUGAGUAACCUGCCCUUGACUUUGGGAUAACUUCAGGAAACUGGGGCUAAUACCGGAUAGGAGCUCCUGCUGCAUGGUGGGGGUUGGAAAGUUUCGGCGGUUGGGGAUGGACUCGCGGCUUAUCAGCUUGUUGGUGGGGUAGUGGCUUACCAAGGCUUUGACGGGUAGCCGGCCUGUGAGGGUGACCGGCCACAUUGGGACUGAGAUAGGGCCCAGACUCCUACGGGAGGCAGAAGUGGGGAAUAUUGCACAAUGGGCGGAAGCUUGAUGCAGCAACGCCGCGUGCGGGAUGACGGCCUUCGGGUUGUAAACCGCUUUCGCCUGUGACGAAGCGUGAGUGACGGUAAUGGGUAAAGAAGCACCGGCUAACUACGUG